rnacentral:rRNA from 1 species
CCUGCCCCAUGCCGGGGGAUAACAGCUGGAAACGGCUGCUAAUACCGCAUAAGCGCACAGAGCUGCAUGGCUCGGUGUGAAAAACUCCGGUGGUAUGGGAUGGGCCCGCGUCUGAUUAGGCAGUUGGCGGGGUAACGGCCCACCAAACCGACGAUCAGUAGCCGGCCUGAGAGGGCGACCGGCCACAUUGGGACUGAGACACGGCCCAAACUCCUACGGGAGGCAGCAGUGGGGAAUAUUGCACAAUGGGGGAAACCCUGAUGCAGCGACGCCGCGUGAGCGAAGAAGUAUUUCGGUAUGUAAAGCUCUAUCAGCAGGGAAGAUAAUGACGGUACCUGACUAAGAAGCCCCGGCUAACUACGUGCCAGCAGCCGCGGUAAUACGUAGGGGGCAAGCGUUAUCCGGAUUUACUGGGUGUAAAGGGAGCGUAGACGGCAAGGCAAGUCUGAUGUGAAAACCCAGGGCUUAACCCUGGGACUGCAUUGGAAACUGUCUGGCUCGAGUGCCGGAGAGGUAAGCGGAAUUCCUAGUGUAGCGGUGAAAUGCGUAGAUAUUAGGAAGAACACCAGUGGCGAAGGCGGCUUACUGGACGGUAACUGACGUUGAGGCUCGAAAGCGUGGGGAGCAAACAGGAUUAGAUACCCUGGUAGUCCACGCUGUAAACGAUGAAUGCUAGGUGUUGGGGAGCAAAGCUCUUCGGUGCCGCCG